rnacentral:RNase_P_RNA from 3 species
GAAGCUGACCAGACAGUCGCCGCUUCGUCGUCGUCCUUUCGGGGAGACGGGCGGAGGGGAGGAAAGUCCGGGCUCCAUAGGGCAGGGUGCCAGGUAACGCCUGGGGGGGAAGCCCACGACCAGUGCAACAGAGAGCAAACCGCCGAUGGCCCACGUAAGUGGGAUCAGGUAAGGGUGAAAGGGUGCGGUAAGAGCGCACCGCGCGGCUGGUAACAGUCCGUGGCACGGUAAACUCCACCCGGAGCAAGGCCAAAUAGGGGUUCAUAAGGUACGGCCCGUACUGAACCCGGGUAGGCUGCUUGAGCCAGUGAGCGAUUGCUGGCCUAGAUGAAUGACUGUCCACGACAGAACCCGGCUUAUCGGUCAGUUUCACCU